UACGAAGGGGGCUAGCGUUGCUCGGAAUCACUGGGCGUAAAGCGCACGUAGGCGGAUUCCUAAGUCGGGGGUGAAAUCCUGGAGCUUAACUCCAGAACUGCCUUCGAUACUGGGAAUCUUGAGUCCGGAAGAGGUGAGUGGAACUGCGAGUGUAGAGGUGAAAUUCGUAGAUAUUCGCAAGAACACCAGUGGCGAAGGCGGCUCACUGGUCCGGUACUGACGCUGAGGUGCGAAAGCGUGGGAGCAA
rnacentral:rRNA from 1 species